rnacentral:misc_RNA from 1 species
GGAACAGCUACGGUAAAAGAUCCUACACACGAGACCAUGACAACGACGGAAGCAAGAGAAGAAAUUCUGGUGAUGAACGAAACACCUAUGCCCCUGGCCCCGAAGAUACUGUCUACCGCUACUUGUGUCCUGGAAAUAAGAUAGGAAGCAUCAUUGGAAGGGGUGGUGAGAUUGUCAAGCAAUUGAGGGCUGACACUCAAGCCAAGAUAAAGAUUGGCGAGAGUGUUCCCGGUUGCGAGGAGCGAG